rnacentral:rRNA from 1 species
UCCUACGGGAGGCAGCAGUAGGGAAUCUUCCACAAUGGGCGCAAGCCUGAUGGAGCAACACCGCGUGAGUGAAGAAGGGUUUCGGCUCGUAAAGCUCUGUUGUUAAAGAAGAACACGUAUGAGAGUAACUGUUCAUACGUUGACGGUAUUUAACCAGAAAGUCACGGCUAACUACGUGCCAGCAGCCGCGGUAAUACGUAGGUGGCAAGCGUUAUCCGGAUUUAUUGGGCGUAAAGAGAGUGCAGGCGGUUUUCUAAGUCUGAUGUGAAAGCCUUCGGCUUAACCGGAGAAGUGCAUCGGAAACUGGAUAACUUGAGUGCAGAAGAGGGUAGUGGAACUCCAUGUGUAGCGGUGGAAUGCGUAGAUAUAUGGAAGAACACCAGUGGCGAAGGCGGCUACCUGGUCUGCAACUGACGCUGAGACUCGAAAGCAUGGGUAGCGAACAGGAUUAGAUACCCUGGGUAGUCC